AGGACUAUCUUUAUCCUAUCAUUGUAGAGGGAGAUUGGAGGCCUGAAUACGCUAAAAGUGUGAAAAAUAAACUUCAGAUUUACUUUCAGAGUAAGAAGAAAUCUCAGGGAGGAGACUGCAUCGUGCAAUGUAAUGACAGGAGCAACUCUGCUACGAUUCAGUUCAGAUCACUUGACAUCCGAGAUGGUGUGCUCUCAAAGGCAGAACACGUUAUUACCAUUGACGAUCAGCAAAUCAAAUUGAAAGUGUACAAACCCAGCGAUAUAGAGGAACAGACAGACAGAACUGGACAAAAAAAGGAGCAGGCUGGAUGUGGAUAUCAGGAACCAAGGCGAGACCCACCUAAAAAUUUCAAGGUUGAAAAUGUGGGCGCCACAUCAGUUACUCUUAUUUGGGAUGCAUUUGGCUGUGAAGAGAAGUUUCAUGUAGUCUGCUGUCAGAAUGGAAGAAAC